rnacentral:lncRNA from 1 species
CGCUCAUAAAGAAAAACCACAUGAAAGAAGUCCUCUCCUGCACAGGUCCUGGAUAAGGAUCUGGAAUUCAGCAGGGAAGGACGAUCUAAACAAAAAUGGAGCAGAUGUGGCCUCCAAGGGCCUGCAUUGGAGCCUCAAGCUGCUUGCUGGUGUGGGACCUACACGUCUGGAUACUCACAGACUCAGUUCCUUCUGUGUGAGACAGGGGAGUUCAGCCUUGUAGCUGCUACGUUACACGACUUCUCUCCGACGCCAAGCAUCUGUGCAUGUGAAUGUUAUGUGAUGGCCUUUGCCGACAUAAAAAAGAAAAAGUGAAAGAGAGUGUUAGUCGCUCAGUUGUGUCAAACUCUUUGUGACCCCAUGGACUGUAGCCCACCAAGUUCCUCUGUCCAUGGGAUUUUUCCAGGUAAGGAUACUGGAGUGACUUGUCAUUUCCUACUCCUGGGGAUCUUCCUGACCCAGGGAUGAAACCUGUGUCUCCCGCAUUGCAGGCAGAUUAUCUACUCUCUGAGCCAGCAUGGAAGACCCUUUGCUGGCAUAGUCUCUCCCCAGAUGGAGUUCAGUGAGGCUAGUUGGAGGAGGCGCCACAGUCCUGGCACCUCCCCCGCCAUGGCCAUGCCUGCUGAGCCUGUGAACCUCAUCAGCAG